rnacentral:lncRNA from 1 species
AACCAGACAAAAUUAAACAUGCCUACUUAUAUCAUGAAUACAAAUUCUGAGGGCUGAAAUUAUUAAAGUAUAUUAAAGUAUUAAACCUCUCACUAAAAGCUUCACUCAUACAGAAGCAUACUUAAACCCGAACUGGUUCUCCAGUAGAUUACUAAGAAUGAUCAUCAUACCCCCAAGACAUGCUAACCUCUCACCAAUACAAUAACAGGGGAGAUUAGCAUUUUAUAUCAUACCCCCAAGACAUGCUAACCUCUCACCAUUACAAUAACAUGGGAGGUUAGCAAUUUAUAUCAUACCCCCAAGUCAUGCUAACCUCUCACCAAUACAACAACAGGGGAGAUUAGCAUUUUAUAUCAUACCCCCAAGACAUGCUAACCUCUCACCAAUACAAUAACAGGGGAGGUUAGCAUUUUAUAUCAUACCCCCAAGACAUGCUAACCUCUCACCAUUACAAUACCAGGGAGGUUAGCAUUUUAUAUCAUACCCCCAAGACAUGCUAACCUCUCACCAAUACAAUAACAGGGGAGGUUAGCAUUUUAUAUCAUACCCCCAAGACAUGCUAACCUCUCACCAAUACAAUAACAGGGGAGGUUAGCAUUUUAUAUCAUACCCCCAAGACAUGCUAACCUCUCACCAAUACAAUAACAGGGGAGGUUAGCAUUUUAUAUCAUACCACCAAGACAUGCUAACCCCUCACCAUUACAAUAACAGGGGAGGUUAGCAUUUUAUAUCAUACCCCCAAGACAUGCUAACCUCUCACCAAUACAAUAACAGGGGAGGUUAGCAUUUUAUAUCAUACCCCCAAGACAUGCUAACCUCUCACCAAUACAAUAACAGGGGAGGUUAGCAUUUUUUGGGGAGGGGUAUGAUAUUUGUGCAUCUGUAACUUUCUCACUCAUCAUCAUUUCACAAUUCAUCACUACGUACAAGAAGUGCCGUAAUUUCGAAACUCUUCAACCGAUAUGGAUGAAAAUACCCUCAAAUUAAAUCUGACAAUCUGCACUUUAACCUCAUAUGGUCGUUGUUUAAUUUAAAAUCCAAACUUAU